AGUGGGGAAUAUUGCGCAAUGGGGGAAACCCUGACGCAGCAACGCCGCGUGGAGGAAGAAGGUCUUCGGAUUGUAAACUCCUGUCUUCUGGGACGAUAAUGACGGUACCAGAGGAGGAAGCCACGGCUAACUACGUGCCAGCAGCCGCGGUAAUACGUAGGUGGCGAGCGUUGUCCGGAAUUACUGGGCGUAAAGGGCGCGUAGGCGGCUCUUUAAGUUAGAUGUGAAAACCCAGGGCUUAACUCUGGGACUGCAUUUAAAACUGAAGGGCUCGAGUGCAGGAGAGGUAAGUGGAAUUCCUAGUGUAGCGGUGAAAUGCGUAGAUAUUAGGAGGAACACCAGUGGCGAAGGCGACUUACUGGACUGUAACUGACGCUGAGGCGCGAAAGCGUGGGGAGCAAA
rnacentral:rRNA from 1 species